ensembl:lncRNA
GUAAGCAUUAAUCAUCAAGAUUAAAACAAUAAAAGGCUUGAAAUAUUUCACUUUAUGUAUAAUGAAUAUAUGAAAGUUCCACAUUUUUAAUUAAAUUUCAGAAAAAAAAAACUUUUAUUCAUGAUUUUCUAAUUUUUUGAGAUGCACCUGUGGACAACACAACAACCAUUACUGAACUGCAUUCACUUAGGUAAUUAGGGCCCACCAAUGUUUUCAGUAAUAGUAGGUUGUGUCAAAGAGGGAUUUAUUUUGGUAGUUUUGUUUCAUUGCAUGCUUCUGUGCUGCUGCAUACUGUAUCAUGAUAUUUUUGCUUAUGGCACUUUUCAAUUCCAGUACAGUCUCAAAGAGCACAGCCUUUACCUAUAUCACGGUAAUAUACUGAAGGACUUGAUCUUGAUACUGUCUUUGUUUGGUUUAAGGAUAAAAUAUUUUAAGCAUUUUAAGCUGUUUAAGGUGAUGAUCUUUGGAAAGGAUUGUGAAAAACACACGUAAUACAGACCACAGAGCAAAGUAUUAUGAUAAGAUGGACCUGUAUGAUACAGUACCUUAUGUAUUUUCAGCCAGAGAACUACAGUAUAUAUUUCCCAUCUGUGCAGAUUUCAUAAUGAAACUCCAAAAAAAAGAUAUUGCAUAUAUUUUCCCUGUUGACAGAGAUGACAUUUGUAAUGUGUUUACAGUGCAGCUCAGCACUGUCAGGUUCUGACGUUCUAGAAUAGAUUCUACUAUCUGCAGUAUAAUUUUCCUUAAUUUAGAUAAUCUUCACUAGUCCGUCAUAUAAACUCCCCACUGUGUCUGCAGGUCUGUAUUAGGGAAUUUGCAGUGCACUUUUAGGAGAUGAGAAAAUUCUGAUGUUAAGGUAGCCCUCUCUGUACCAACUUCAUGAUGGUACAUACACCUCCAUAGUUGGCCCUGAAACACUCCUAGAAAGGAGUCUAGAUGUAAAGGAGGCUUUCUGCUUGGCGAGAGCUCCUCAGGGCCUCAUGCACUCACUGCAAUUCCACAUACUGUGGGAUGAUGAACUGCAGAGAGGGUGUGUCUAGUCUCAUGAGAAUGAGUAGUUAGACACUUGUGUGUAAGAUUGGCCUUUUAUGUAAUUAUUCAGUUUAACAUUUGAUAUGAAAUAGGUGCCAACUCUGUCGUCAAGACAAGGGGAUACAGAAUGAAUAUUCAGAGUCAAAAGAUUAAACACGUGUUAAUUUGAUUUUAAUGUUGAAAUGCAGUGCAAUAAAACACAAGAGUUUUAUAAGCAAUAUGUAUCAUUUACAUAUCAAUGGCAUUACCACAUUUUUAAAAUACAGUUUCAAAGUAGAAAAAAUAUUUAAAGAAACUAAAAAUUGACACUCUUCACAAGCACAUAAAAUGCAUAAAAUGCAGCAGUGAGCACAAAGCAACAGUGGCUGUGUUUGGAAUCCCUAUCAAUUUAAUGCACCAGCUUGUAGUGGAUAACACUAUUGCCCAGUCUGAAUUUCCAUCUAGUUCAUAUAGUUCAACAUUUACAGAACAUGUGUGAUUUAUAGUCUAUAUACAAGGCCUUUUAUUAAAAUGCCACCAGAGAGCACUGAGCAUUAAUUCCUUUAAAUAAUGGUACAUAAAAUAUUAUGCUAGCAUGCCUGAAGCUUCUGAAACUGGGUGAUGCCAUGAUUCACACACUUGUCCCCCACUUAGUGUUUUGUGUAGCAGUAUGAACAAAGAAAAUGAAAUAAAACGAGGGACUUCAAACACAGCCGAUGUGUUUUUAUAUAAAAUAAAAGAUGCAUGUUAGUUCACCAUCACCAUCUGUUUCUCAUAUAAACAGACUUGGGAGCUCCCCAUUUUGAUCUGGAUUUGAUCAUGUUAAUGCUUCAAUAAAGAUUUAAGGCACUGAUUACAAUUAUAACAGUUAUAAACUGGUUAAUUGACAGAGCCCAAUCUAUGAUUUGUCAAGCAUAAUAUACUGUAAUACUGCAAAGUUUAUUUAAUACGAAUGCAAAGCUUGGUUUUACACAUGUCCAUGGCAAAUUGUCUUGCAUAAGCUAUAUAUAUAUAUAUAUAUAUAUAUAUAUAUAUAUAUAUAUAUAUAUA